CCUACGGGGGGCUGCAGUGGGGAAUAUUGGACAAUGGGGGCAACCCUGAUCCAGCCAUGCCGCGUGUGUGAAGAAGGCCCUCGGGUUGUAAAGCACUUUCAGUGAGGAAGAACGCCUGGUGGUUAAUACCCAUCAGGAAAGACAUCACUCACAGAAGAAGCACCGGCUAACUCCGUGCCAGCAGCCGUGGUAAUACGGAGGGUGCGAGCGUUAAUCGGAAUUACUGGGCGUAAAGCGCGCGUAGGUGGCUUGAUAAGCCGGUUGUGAAAGCCCCGGGCUCAACCUGGGAACGGCAUCCGGAACUGUCAAGCUAGAGUGCAGGAGAGGAAGGUAGAAUUCCCGGUGUAGCGGUGAAAUGCGUAGAGAUCGGGAGGAAUACCAGUGGCGAAGGCGGCCUUCUGGACUGACACUGACACUGAGGUGCGAAAGCGUGGGUAGCAAACAGGAUUAGAUACCCUGGUAGUC
rnacentral:rRNA from 1 species